rnacentral:rRNA from 1 species
UACGUAGGUGGCAAGCGUUGUUCGGAAUCAUUGGGCGUAAAGCGCACGUAGGCGGCUCCAAAAGUCGGAUGUGAAAUCCCUGGGCUCAACCGAGGAAGUGCAUCCGAAACUGCGGAGCUGGAGUAUGGAAGAGGGUCGCGGAAUUCCCGGUGUAGAGGUGAAAUUCGUAGAUAUCGGGAGGAACACCAGUGGCGAAGGCGGCGACCUGGGCCAAUACUGACGCUGAGGUGCGAAAGCGUGGGGAGCAAACAGG